rnacentral:rRNA from 1 species
UAUACCGUGAAACUGCGAAUGGCUCAUUAAAUCAGUUAUCGUUUAUUUGAUAAUACCUUACUACUUGGAUAACCGUGGUAAUUCUAGAGCUAAUACAUGCUGAAAACGCCGACUUCGGAAGGGAUGUGUUUAUUAGAUAAAAAACCAAUGCCCUUCGGGGCUUUUUGGUGAUUCAUGAUAACUUUACGGAUCGCAUAGCCUUGCGCUGGCGACGGUUCAUUCAAAUUUCUGCCCUAUCAACUUUCGAUGGUAAGGUAUUGGCUUACCAUGGUUUCAACGGGUAACGGGGAAUUAGGGUUCGAUUCCGGAGAGGGAGCCUGAGAAACGGCUACCACAUCCAAGGAAGGCAGCAGGCGCGCAAAUUACCCAAUCCCGACACGGGGAGGUAGUGACAAUAAAUACUGAUACAGGGCUCUUUUGGGUCUUGUAAUUGGAAUGAGUACAAUUUAAACCUCUUAACGAGGAACAAUAUGGAGGGCAAGUCUGGUCCAGCAGCCGCGGUAAUUCCAGCUCCAAUAGCGUAUAUUAAAGUUGUUGCAGUUAAAAAGCUCGUAGUUGAAACUUGGGCCUGGCUGGCGGGUCCGCCUCACCGCGUGCACUCGUCCGGCCGGGCCUUCCUUCUGAAGAACCUCAUGCCCUUCACUGGGCGUGCUGGGGAAUCAGGACUUUUACUUUGAAAAAAUUAGAGUGUUCAUAGCAGGCCUUUGCUCGAAUACGUUAGCAUGGAAUAAUGCAAUAGGGCGUGCGUUUCUAUCUUGUUGGUUUCUAGAGACGCCGCAAUGAUCUACAG